GGCGCGUUCGUCUAGCGGUUAGGACGUCACCCUUUCAAGGUGAAGGCCACCGGUUCGAAUCCGGUACGCGCUA
rnacentral:tRNA from 1 species